rnacentral:rRNA from 1 species
GACGAACGCUGGCGGCGUGCUUAACACAUGCAAGUCGAACGGAAAGGCCCUGCUUUUGUGGGGUGCUCGAGUGGCGAACGGGUGAGUAACACGUGAGUAACCUGCCCUUGACUUUGGGAUAACUUCAGGAAACUGGGGCUAAUACCGGAUAGGAGCUCCUGCUGCAUGGUGGGGGUUGGAAAGUUUCGGCGGUUGGGGAUGGACUCGCGGCUUAUCAGCUUGUUGGUGGGGUAGUGGCUUACCAAGGCUUUGACGGGUAGCCGGCCUGAGAGGGUGACCGGCCACAUUGGGACUGAGAUACGGCCCAGACUCCUACGGGAGGCAGCAGUGGGGAAUAUUGCACAAUGGGCGGAAGCCUGAUGCAGCAACGCCGCGUGCGGGAUGACGGCCUUCGGGUUGUAAACCGCUUUCGCCUGUGACGAAGCGUGAGUGACGGUAAUGGGUAAAGAAGCACCGGCUAACUACGUGCCAGCAGCCGCGGUGAUACGUAGGGUGCGAGCGUUGUCCAGAUUUAUUGGGCGUAAAGGGCUCGUAGGUGGUUGAUCGCGUCGGAAGUGUAAUCUUGGGGCUUAACCCUGAGCGUGCUUUCGAUACGGGUUGACUUGAGGAAGGUAGGGGAGAAUGGAAUUCCUGGUGGAGCGGUGGAAUGCGCAGAUAUCAGGAGGAACACCAGUGGCGAAGGCGGUUCUCUGGGCCUUUCCUGACGCUGAGGAGCGAAAGCGUGGGGAGCGAACAGGCUUAGAUACCCUGGUAGUCCACGCUGUAAACGGUGGGUACUAGGUGUGGGGUCCAUUCCACGGGUUCCGUGCCGUAGCUAACGCUUUAAGUACCCCGCCUGGGGAGUACGGCCGCAAGGCUAAAACUCAAAGGAAUUGACGGGGCCCCGCACAAGCGGCGGAGCAUGCGGAUUAAUUCGAUGCAACGCGUAGAACCUUACCUGGGUUUGACAUGGAUCGGGAGUGCUCAGAGAUGGGUGUGCCUCUUUUGGGGUCGGUUCACAGGUGGUGCAUGGCUGUCGUCAGCUCGUGUCGUGAGAUGUUGGGUUAAGUCCCGCAACGAGCGCAACCCUUGUUCACUGUUGCCAGCACGUUAUGGUGGGGACUCAGUGGAGACCGCCGGGGUCAACUCGGAGGAAGGUGGGGAUGACGUCAAGUCAUCAUGCCCCUUAUGUCCAGGGCUUCACGCAUGCUACAAUGGCUGGUACAGAGAGUGGCGAGCCUGUGAGGGUGAGCGAAUCUCGGAAAGCCGGUCUCAGUUCGGAUUGGGGUCUGCAACUCGACCUCAUGAAGUCGGAGUCGCUAGUAAUCGCAGAUCAGCAACGCUGCGGUGAAUACGUUCCCGGGGCU